UUACUGCCUCUUCUGCUGCUGUUCGGGCGAGAGCGAUUAUUUAUUUUGCAGCCUUUCUUCGGCCUGCUUUUCCAAUAGGAAUUUGUGAUAUGCUUACAAAAUUCCCUGGCACGGCUCGCCGGCGGGGACGGUGCUGCGGGCAGCCCUUUCAGCCCUUUGGAGGGUGCUCCCACCCCGUCAGUGAGUCAGCAAGCGCAAAAGCCGUCACAGCCUCGUUUCUCAAACACCUUUCCUCCGGUUGCUUUCCAAAUUGCUUUUCACGGGGGUCGAUCUAGCCAUCACAAGAAGGCAGUCGCUUCUGUGACAGAUAUUUAAAAGCAACUGCGUUUAGCAAGCUGGAGCAGAAAAGGAGUAAGGGCACAAAACGCAGCGACAGGGGCUUCUCUGGGAGAUGCUAUUUUUACCCCAGGGAGCCUGACUUGCUGCAGAUCGAGGGGGAAAGCGGCCGCCAACGACUCCGCGCAGCUGAUGGACCUUCCUCAGAGAUCUCUGAUGCCCAGACUGGUCCCAGUCAGCCCUGAGGCCCCGGGGAGCCUGGCUGGCGCAUAUUUAAUGACAUGAGAGUCAACAUCUGAGCUAGGCUCUGGAGGGACCGCAGGGCCACUGCCACCCCCGAUGGCUCUGGGGAAUGCCAGCAGAUCUGUCCCACGCAGCUACGGAGCAGGUGGAUUUUGCCAGGAUGCAUCCAGGACACUCAGCAAGCUGGUGGCCAUGCUGUGACACCAGGGGGGCUGCCCACCGAGGACCAGCAGCUCGAGGAGCCCAGCCCCAGGGUGCACCGCAGCCUACCAGUGUGGAGACACCCCUGCGGGACACCUUGGUGCUGGAUCUGCCCCGCUGCUCCAUCCUGACCCAUGUUCCCAGCUCGCGUACUCAUAGCUGUGGCAUGUGAAAAGCCACCUCUGCAGGGGACGGUUCCUCCACCCAGCUGUGGUGUUAAGUUGCUCCCAUGGCGCUUAUGGUGUUGCCAGGCCUGAGCUCUAAAAGGAAGGAGAGAACUUUGCUCACGGCGGUGCCGAACCCAAAUCACACUCUGCGGCUUUUCGCAGCCCGAGCUCUGCCAGAUCCCACGAAACUGGAUAUGCCCUUAUCUCCCGCAGGCUCUCACCCCGCCGUGCAUCGGGCCCAGUCCCCAAAGCUUGGAUCUGAUUCCAAAUCCAUCCCGAAUCAGAUGUAUUUGCGGAGCUGGGGAUUUGCCCUACCCCUAUUGCUAUGAGACUGGGGGUCCUGCAGAUGUCAUUGCCGUCCAGCCCAGCAUCUUCAAGGAAAGGUUUGGCAGCCCCCUGGCUGGGGUCCUCAGCCGCAAUCUAUCAGCCAACCACCCCACUUCAGCAGAUGAAGUGCCAGAAUGUCCCCGGAAUUUCCCUCUGGGAACUGGCACCCUGCUCCCCUUUUUGCCCCUGCUCUCUCCUGAGGCUCCUCUGGCUUUCUGUGGUGUUUCUAACCUUGCCCUUUGGUUGCCCCAUGGUCUUCGCCCCUGCAUUU